CUAUUUUUGUUAUUUUUUGUGGAAUAAAUUCAAUGUGCUAAUUAAUACUGCCUUAAAAUAGGAAAAUAAGAUAUGCCUUUGAACUGCCUAUAGGAAUAUAUACGUCAUUUCGUCAUAAAACGGUGGUAUAGUAGCAACACUAUUAGUAGUAAUACUAAGGAGAAGUUGUAGUAGACGUAGUAGUUGCUCUCUGCUGGCGACUGUCGGCGAUUACGGCGAACGAUGGCCGCGGCUUGUGCAGUCCUGAAACCCAACCAAUUUUGCACCCAAAUCGAAAGUUACUGAAGAGCAACCAAUUGCAACGAAUACAACCCUAGGUGACAAUAAACGACCACGAGUGCACUGAUACUUACUGAUUUCCAACCUCAGUUUUGGGUGUAGCAAAGCUGGAGUCUACGCGGACCUCCGGGGAUCGGCGUAGGCAAUGGUUGCAGGUUGGCCGCGGUAUUUUUGACGAGGUGGUUGCGCCGCGGACCAAGAUGGUGGCGUAGAGGUUAGCACCUACUAGCCAACCAUCUUGGCUUCACACAGUCAAGUGAGUGUAUUAAGGUCGAAUGGGGCACAGCAGAGGUAGAUGGCAGCAGCAUAGUUGCGGUGCACCAGCAACAGCAGCAAAAGUGAGAGAAUCAGCAGCAACAACAACGCAAACUCCAACAAUAUAUCUCAUCGCACGGCAGUGUUGGAGAGUUGGAGAGGAGAUAUAGUCGUGGGGAUCACGGCGCGAUGAAUGUGGAGUCUAUGUAGCGCAAUAGACACACACACACACAUAGAGCAGGUUGGAGCCGUGAACCGUUGGCGGUGGCAAUCCGAGUCGGUUGGCCACGUGAAAAUUCGAAUCGGUUGACGGCUUCGAGUUCUGACUUCGGAUAAAUGGUAUAUGAAACAUUUUACACUGUCUUUGUUGAUUUUAACUGAUUUUUGCUGUUUUAAAAAAUGAUCAUUAUGAAUGUUUCAGCAGAAUUGGUUUGAAAUGAACGGAAACGUGGGUGUGCAGCUGGAAAACGGUGCGGAAAGGCUCACUGGAAAAUGUAAACUGGGUUGCUUUUGAUGGGUGAAGCUACAAUAAAUUUUGUGGAAACAUUCAAAAAGUGACUUUGAUCUACGAACUGAUUUAAAGUUUUAAUCGAUCGCUGGAAUUAAAUUGGAACUUUCCAAUACUGUUGAAUAAAUGCAUAGUUUUCUUCAAAAAUGAGAAAAA